rnacentral:rRNA from 1 species
AUUGAACGCUGGCGGCAGGCCUAACACAUGCAAGUCGAGCGAGCGGAGGACGGGUGAGUAAUGUAUGGGGACUGCCCGAUAGAGGGGGAUAACUACUGGAAACGGUGGCUAAUACCGCAUACUAUCGGAUAACCCAUAUGGGAUUAGCUAGUAGGUAAGGUAAUGGCUUACCUAGGGGACGAGCCCUAGCUGGUCUGAGAGGAUGAUCAGCCACACUGGGACUGAGGACCGGCCCAGACUCCUACGGAGGCAGCAGUGGGGAAUAUUGCACAAUGGUCGCAAGCCUGAUGCAGCCAGGCCGCGUGUAUGAAGAAGGCCCUAGGGUUGUAAAGUACGUUCAGUCGGGAGGCGUUACCGACAGAAGAAGCACCGGCUAACUCCGUGCCAGCAGCCGCGGUAAUUC